GACGAACGCUGGCGGCGUGCUUAACACAUGCAAGUCGAACGGAAAGGCCCUGCUUUUGUGGGGUGCUCGAGUGGCGAACGGGUGAGUAACACGUGAGUAACCUGCCCUUGACUUUGGGAUAACUUCAGGAAACUGGGGCUAAUACCGGAUAGGAGCUCCUGCUGCAUGGUGGGGGUUGGAAAGUUUCGGCGGUUGGGGAUGGACUCGCGGCUUAUCAGCUUGUUGGUUGGGUAGUGGCUUACCAAGGCUUUGACGGGUAGCCGGCCUGAGAGGGUGACCGGCCACAUUGGGACUGAGAUACGGCCCAGACUCCUACGGGAGGCAGCAGUGGGGAAUAUUGCACAAUGGGCGGAAGCCUGAUGCAGCAACGCCGCGUGCGGGAUGACGGCCUUCGAGUUGUAAACCGCUUUCGCCUGUGACGAAGCGUGAGUGACGGUAAUGGGUAAAGAAGCACCGGCUAACUACGUG
rnacentral:rRNA from 1 species